UAGUAACUGCGAGUGAAGCGGGAAAAGCUCAAAUUUAAAAUCUGGUGGUCUUUGGCCAUCCGAGUUGUAAUCUAGAGAAGUGUUAUCCGCGCUGGACCGUGUACAAGUCUCCUGGAAUGGAGCGUCAUAGAGGGUGAGAAUCCCGUCUUUGACACGGACUGCCAGGGCUUUGUGAUGCGCUCUCAAAGAGUCGAGUUGUUUGGGAAUGCAGCUCAAAAUGGGUGGUAAAUUCCAUCUAAAGCUAAAUAUUGGCGAGAGACCGAUAGCGAACAAGUACCGUGAGGGAAAGAUGAAAAGAACUUUGGAAAGAGAGUUAAACAGUACGUGAAAUUGCUGAAAGGGAAACGCUUGAAGUCAGUCGCGUUGUCCGGGGAUCAACCUUGCUUUUGCUGGGCGUACUUCCCGGUUGACGGGUCAGCAUCAAUUUUGACCGUUGGAUAAAGUCUAGGGGAAUGUGGCAUCUUCGGAUGUGUUAUAGCCCUUGGUCGCAUACAACGGUUGGGAUUGAGGAACUCAGCACGCCGCAAGGCCGGGUAUUCGUACUACGUUCGUGCUUAGGAUGCUGGCAUAAUGGCUUUAAUCGACCCGUCUUGAAACACGGACCAAGGAGUCUAACAUGCCUGCGAGUGUUUGGGUGGAAAACCCGAGCGCGUAAUGAAAGUGAAAGUUGAGAUCCCUGUCGUGGGGAGCAUCGACGCCCGGACUUGACCUUUUGUGACGGAUCCGCGGUAGAGCAUGUAUGUUGGGACCCGAAAGAUGGUGAACUAUGCCUGAAUAGGGUGAAGCCAGAGGAAACUCUGGUGGAGGCUCGUAGCGAUUCUGACGUGCAAAUCGAUCGUCAAAUU
rnacentral:rRNA from 1 species